rnacentral:rRNA from 1 species
AUUGAACGCUGGCGGCAGGCCUAACACAUGUAAGUCGAGCGGAUGAGUGGAGCUUGCUCCAUGAUUCAGCGGCGGACGGGUGAGUAAUGCCUAGGAAUCUGCCUGGUAGUGGGGGACAACGUUUCGAAAGGAACGCUAAUACCGCAUACGUCCUACGGGAGAAAGUGGGGGAUCUUCGGACCUCACGCUAUCAGAUGAGCCUAGGUCGGAGUAGCUAGUUGGUGAGGUAAAGGCUCACCAAGGCGACGAUCCGUAACUGGUCUGAGAGGAUGAUCAGUCACACUGGGACUGAGACACGGUCCAGACUCCUACGGGAGGCAGAAGUGGGGAAUAUUGGACAAUUGGCGAAAGCCUGAUCCAGCCAUGCCGCGUGUGUGAAGAAGGUCUUCGGAUUGUAAAGCACUUUAAGUUGGGAGGAAGGGCAGUAAGUUAAUACCUUGCUGUUUUGACGUUACCAACAGAAUAAGCACCGGCUAACUUCGUGCCAGCCGCCGCCGUAAGAC